UGGGUAACCUGCCUCAAAGAGGGGAAUAGCCUCCCGAAAGGGAGAUUAAUACCGCAUAAUAUGUUUAGGUCGCAUGACUUUAACAUCAAAGGAUUUUCUUUUAGAAGUUCCACUUUGAGAUGGACCCGCGGCGCAUUAGCUAGUUGGUGAGGUAACGGCUCACCAAGGCAACGAUGCGUAGCCGACCUGAGAGGGUGAUCCGGCCACAUUGGAACUGAGACACGGUCCAGACUCCGUAGG
rnacentral:rRNA from 1 species